ensembl:ncRNA lncRNA:CR45566 long non-coding RNA:CR45566
GGAACCGGUUUACCGACUGCUACCUACUAUGCUAUGCCUUUUAUUUGCCGCACAAAAGGGAUUCGGUAUAUUCGCGAUACGCAGAACCGCGCCAGUCGACCGUUCGCAGUCGAAUAAGAGCGGCGACGACGCUCGACGCUUAAUUAAAUGCCAAUUAACGUGUGACAAUAAGUAUAUGUGCGGCCCAUGGAUGUGCGAACGUGUACGAAGACCAAGAUCGGCAUCGCCAUCGGCGGCAGCACGACGGACGAUAACGAAAGCUACAGCCGCCGCCACAGAUACAGAUGCAGAUGCCAUGCCGCUGUUAUCAGCGCGAGCGGGAGAAUGAUAAGGGAUGGGAUCGCUCAGCGCGGCAGGCAAGACGACCAAAAAGAGAGCCAACUAAAUGAUGUGCCUAAGACUAAGAGUUUAAUGAGCAUUACUGUCGCGC